ACUCCGAGGCUGCUGGGUUACCCUGGUGGCCCGGUUGAGACUGAGGGGUUGUUCCGGGGUGGUUGUGGUUUGUGUCCUGAGCCCCACUAAACAGACCCGGAACCCACGGUGCUUGGUGCUGUACAAACACAAAACAAAGACAGUCCCUGCCUCGGAGAGCUUACCAGGGCGUUACCAUGGGCCACAGGUGACGCUUCCCCUUGGGGAAACGAGUCUCCAGCCCCAUCUCUUCGGGACAAGACCGUGCCCAUGCUCGCUGCUCUCAGCUCCCCUAUGGCCCCAGCCAGGGCAGGGGGAGGCUGAGCGCUCGCUUGGGGCCACUGGAAAAGCUCUGUGACUGUGCUCCUGGCCCCGGCCCGCCUCGUUACCCCUGUCCGUGUCCGGGCCCCCGCUCCCCCUGUCACGCUUUGGUAGUGUCAAGUAAGUGAUCACGAUUUUUGGUGACUACUGUUCUAUAUAGUGAAGAUGGCGCGAUCAAAAAGGAGUUAUGCCUGGAAUUACUUCACAAAAAUAGCAGAAGACACCGUUAAAUGUAAACUGUGUAAUACAGAGCUGAGUUCAAGAAAACGCAACACACAACGUGAGGAAAAACUAACAGAGUUGUUGUGCGCCAUGAUCACUACAGAUAUGCUGCCUGUAAGUGUCGUUGAGGGUACAGAUUUUCAUGGAUGAGUUGAAGCGUUUUGUAGAACAUGAAUGCUGUGUGCCUGUGAGACAGAAAAUAACCUCUCGACUAGAGAAGUGCUAUGAAGACUGUGUGAAGUCUGUUUGGGAAAAAUUGGAAAACACCGUUAAAGUAGCUUUCACCACUGAAUACUGGACAGCAUUAACUACAGAAAGCUUCAUGACUGUCACUUGCCAUUAUAUUGAAAAUUGGGAACUUCGAUCCACAGUUGUACAAACCGAAAGUAUGGCAGAAUGACAUACCACAGAAAACCUUGCUGAAAAAUUAAAUGCUACAGUGGAAAGAUGGGGUCUGGAAGACCCUGUCUUGGUGUGCAUAUACGAUAAUGCAAACAACAUUGCGCUCGCCAACACAUCAAAAUUGCUGCUUAAUCAAAGCUCCUGCGACUUGCGUCCAUGUUAGAAAUAGAAGAACCUCCACAUACUGGGGCUGAACCAAGAAGUACUGAACCGGAUGAGCGGAUAGAGCCAGCGCC